UUGAGCAAAGGCACACCUGUCUCACAGGCGUCCGCACAAGUUUCCUGCCUUCAGUUUAUUGACCCACGGCCUGGCUGGGGGUCUGUCCCCAUGGCGAGAGCCGGGGCCAUAGCUCAGCUGGGAGAGCACCUGCUUUGCAAGCAGGGGGUCGUCGGUUCGAUCCCGACUGGCUCCACCAUCGCGGGCAACGUCGUCACGACGGGUCUGUAGCUCAGGUGGUUAGAGCGCGCCCCUGAUAAGGGCGAGGUCGGAGGUUCGAGUCCUCCUAGACCCACCACCGUGAGGCGGUGGGCCGGCACGAGCGGAAACUGAAGGGCAGCGCACACAAGAUCUGAAACGGGUCCGGCAGUGAGGCCGGUCUCGUGUUCUUUGACAAUCUGGGACGUAGCGAGCGUUGUGAGACUUAUCGGUCAUCACACGUGUCGUAGAGGCUAAGGCGAAAGAAUUGAGUGUGGAACCGUGUGAUCCCGAGGCGACUUGGGGUUAUAU
rnacentral:tRNA from 1 species